AUGAGAUCCACAUCAGAUGAUAUAAUACAAAUUUGUUCAAAUAAGAUACAUGCAAAACGACAUGAAAUCUUCGAUUUUAACCUACUAACAUCUACUGUUACUCAUAAAGAUGAAAGUGGUCGAAAGAUGACGAAAAAUGGGCUAAUGAGAUUAAUAAAAAAUGAAUUCACAAAUUUUCAAUGUACCGAACAUUAUAAUCAUGAAUCAGGUUCAGAAACUAUUGAAUAUGAACAAGAUUUUACUGGAUGUUCUAAACAUGAAUUGAAGAAAUUGAAAAAAAAAAUAAAAGAAAGUAUGACAAAUGAUUUAGUUUGUAUGGUAUGUUCCAAAGGUUAUUUUGCAAUAAUAAGUGAUGAAUUUUCAAAUGCCAUUCGAUGUUCAUUUUGUCACAUAUGCUUACCAAAUAGUGUUGAUCUUGAAGAGGUAGGGAACAGAAUCAAAAACAUUCAAAAAGAACAUUUACAAGAAUGCAA